rnacentral:ribozyme from 1 species
CUCAUUGGCUGGAUCAGGUGAAGCGGGACUUGUCGGAGACAUAGGCUCUCCUAUUCAAUUCCCAUACGGACACGUCCCAGUUCGUGCAGAGUAGUAACUUGGAUCAUCGAAUAUCCAAGCUUGGGUACACGGGCUUGUUCCAACCCCUUGGGCGGAUGGCUCAUGGCAAAUCAGGAGGGC